UACGUAGGGGGCGAGCGUUGUCCGGAGUUACUGGGCGUAAAGCGCUUGUAGGCGGUCCACCAAGUUUGGGGUGACAGUUGCCGACUUAAUCGGCAAAGUGCCUCAAAGACUGGCGGACUUGAGGGCCACAGAGGGACAUGGAACUCCAGGUGUAGUGGUGAAAUUCGUAGAUAUCGGGAGGAACACCAGUGGCGAAGGCGGCGACCUGGACGGACACUGACGCUGAGACGCGAAAGCGUGGGGAGCAAACAGG
rnacentral:rRNA from 1 species